rnacentral:tRNA from 1 species
GCUGGCGUAGCUCAGUUGGUAGAGCAGGGGUUUUGUAAACCUCAGGUCGUUGGUUCAAUUCCAAUCGCCAGCUCCA